GGGAAGGAACCGUGGGGGGACCAGGACGGGAACGCGGGUGUGGGGCGCCUCCAGGGCUGCGCUGCCACCAGCCACAAGUGACGUGGCUGGUCCAAGUUGAAAUGUGCUGUAGAUGAGAAACAAACACAGAAGUUUGGUAAUUUACCUAAUGACAGCAAGCCCGCAAUCAGCAGACUCUAAAGUAGGGGAACUGCCAUUGCAAGCCUGAAUUCAUUCAUCCAAAGGACACUGAAUGAGGACCAGCACAUCAGGAAGGCCUGCAUGGAUCCACGUCCUGGCUACAAAUCACAACUGCUCUUCGCGAUGACCCCAAGACUGCUCACAGUAAUGCCCUCAGUUGCAGGCACUUGGCAGUCUCUCCAGAUACCUGGGUUUCCCGCAAUCCUUCUUCCAUCCUCUGUUCUGAUCCCUCAGUCCCAGUAAAACCUGGUUUCUUCCCAACUGACUCCAAGCAACCCAUCUCAUCCAGAGCUCCACUGGAUACAUCAAUGUCUUGAACUACACUCUGGCCCUUUGUCAGCCAAUGUACUUGAAGCGACUCUCAUUUUGGUUCUGUGAUUCUUCUUCACCUCACUCUUCACUCUGUCCAACCUCUUGUGCAUCAUCUGAAAUCCCUGAAGGGAUGGGACAUGGUCAAAGAAGAUGGGAACUGGGAGGUCCUUCGAGAUCUGCCAGUCCAAAGGCCAAGCAGAAACUGUAAAUGAGAAAGCUGAUUGGUUAUAAUAUAAAAGAGUUGGGGGGACACCUGGGUGGCCAGUCGGUUGACUGUCAGACUCUUGGUUUCGGCUAAGGUCAUGAUCUCAGGGGUUGUGGGAUAGAGCCCCGGGUCAGGCUCUCUGCUGCCCCUCCCCC